GACGACAAUUGCUUUUACCAUUGUAUUACACACGUACCAUAUUUUCAGCAGAUAAAUUAUCCCCAUUCUUUUGUCAUAUCAUGUCAUUUAGACCUUUAUUUAAGAAGGCAAUCAAUAGAAAUCAAAAUCGAUAAAUAGUUCAGAAUUUAAAAACAUCAAAGACAUAAAAAACAUUACCAAAAUAUCCAUUUAUUAAUAGUUUGUCAUAAUUAGUCUGAGUUGUGUUUUGUUUCUUAGUGUUUCUUUUCUAUCAAGCAAAGACGCACUGAAUUUAUCAUUGCUGGAAAGUUGGGUUUCUUAAGGCUAGAUAUAAUGCAAAUAUUCCUUACCUAAACCAAAAAGGCAAAACACUCAAUAAUGCAGUGCACUCUAAUGUUGAUAUAGAUGUGAAAUAGAUAGUGAUGAGAUAAAUGUUUAUUAAAUACAGUUGUAUACGC
rnacentral:sRNA from 1 species